UCUAGGUCUAGGUCCAGGUCCAGGUCCAGGUCUGCUCCAGGUCCAGGUCCAGGUCCAGGUCUAGGUCUAGGUCUAGGUCCAGGUCUAGGUCCAGGUCUAGGUCCAGGUCUAGGUCCAGGUCUAGGUCCAGGUCUGCUCGGUUCACUGAUCCUCUGCAGGAAAACAUCUCUGCUUCAGAGCAGGACACUUCAUCCACUUUAUUUGACCCCAUGUGACUUUGUUACUCUUGUUUAAUUCCUGCAAAAGAUCAGAAAUCUGAAGAAAAGUUGUGUGGCUUGCCUUUGCAGAGCUUCAUCUCCACAAAAUUGUGUGAGAAACUUCAAAACCAUCUUUUGUAUUUGUUGUUUUUUAGACAUUGUGUAGUCAGACAUCGUACUAGAAGACAAACCAGACUACCUGCUUCCUCACCCGUCCCGUCUGCUUCACUUCUUUCCUUGUUUCUUUAACGUUCCACUCCUCCACACACAUCUGUUUUGUAUAUUUAACAGUAACCUGUGUGAUGAUUAGUCAUUAUUUGUAAAUAAGCAUAAUACUAGUGAAUAUUAAGGUAUCUUGUUUCAUUUAUCAAAAUGCAAAACAAAUAAAUGUGUUU